rnacentral:rRNA from 1 species
UACGUAGGGGGCGAGCGUUGUCCGGAAUCAUUGGGCGUAAAGCGCGUGUAGGCGGCCCGGUAAGUCCGCUGUGAAAGUCCAGGGCUCAACCCUGGGAUGCCGGUGGAUACUGUCGGGCUCGAGUCCGGAAGAGGCGAGUGGAAUUCCUGGUGUAGCGGUGAAAUGGCGCAGAUAUCAGGAGGAACACCAAGUGGCGAAGGCAGCUCGCUGGGAC